AUAGUAUUGCUUGUUCAGAUGCAUAAAAUACACGUAUAUGCAAGAGGGUAUAUAAGGGUCACUUGUGUUUGUAUUAUAUUAUUCAUAUUCUCUGGGAUCGAGGUAAUCGACGGAACUCCGACAAAAUGAAACUUUGCUGCCUCUUUUUCCUUGCCCUGAUCACCUUCGUAGCCAGCACUCCAUUUUUUGAAGUCUUGGACAAGCCUAAUGUUGGCGCCGCAGCUCCCAUAAAUGUUCUUGGAGACCAAAAAGCUGCUGGGGAGAAAGGAGAUAGAGGUCCACCCUGAGGAAGGAAUCAAUGUCAAAAGUGCUCGAUUCUUCAUACUUUUGCUUUUUUAUUACGAUUACCCGUUAUUUUUAAAAUUCUAAAUUACAAAUACAAAAAAUAUUAAUAAAAAUAAAUUGUAUAUUUCAUAGUUCUAAAUAUUUAAAUUUCAUAUAAUUAUAAUUUUUACUCAUUUAAUUUUACCCUGUUCAUUAUACUUACUGCUUAAU